rnacentral:lncRNA from 1 species
GGAGGGCCUGGCUUGUCUAGCUUGUAGGGGCCCUGUUGGAAGAUGAAAGAAGCCAGGAGAUGGGAAACACCUCUGUCAACUGUGGAGUGCCGUAUCCAGAUGAAAAAACCAAGGCUCAAAGAGAAGACACUUGCCUAAGUCUACUCAGUAAAGAUGUGAUGGACUCAAGACCUCAGUGCAGGGCCAUCUGAAUUAAAACCUGAUGAUAUGUAUGCAAUAUCGAGAUCUAACAGCCACGUAAGUAAUUGACGUCACAGUUUAAGUAUGUUACAGCUGGACCUACGUAUAUACAAAUUUAAGAGUAAUAUAAAAGAUUUAAUAUUGCAAAAUGUUCUUCAGCUGCCCUGUGCAGCUCUUGCAGACACCAUGCUCUUUUUUGAGCACCUCCAGAACCAGGACUUGGAACAUAACAAGAAAGUGAAAGCUUUUCUUACACUGCUCAGAGCCUCCCCGUGCCCCAAAGCAGCGUCCAUCUGCACUGUCAGCAGCCGCACAACCCACAGCCUUUGUGGCAUUUGGACGCAGUCAUCCUUUGUGUCAAGGACAUAGAGCAAGAAAAGAGGAGAAGCGAAUCCCUUCUCCCUCCUGGGGCCUGAGCAGUGUCAGUCACGAAAGCGGAUGUUGAGGGUUACAUUGGGUGUGCUGGGCCAAGUGACCAAGGAUCUGUGUAUCCUUUAAUAAAUUGUGUAUGUUUGUGAUCUGGGGGUCCCUGUGCUACUCAUGUGUGGUCUGGGCCUGUGGACUGUGGCUGGUGCAUGAACUACUCAGAAACCAAAAAUAAGUAUUUUAAAACGCUCACAGCAUUAUUGCUACAUCCAAGCUCAUGUUCAUUUUUCUAGUAGUUCAUUUUUAAGUAAUUAUUUUAUAAAAUGUUGGAAGACAGUGAGAACAUGUUUCUCUCAUUUCCUGAAGUUUUAUUACCAUUGCUUUAGGAUGCAUUGACUGUCAUUUCAAAAUAGCACAUUGUAUAUUGGCAUCACUAUCUUUGCAAGUUAUAAAACUAUCUUUUUGCAUUGUGGUGAAAAAAACACAUCACAUAAAAUUUACCAUCUUAGCAGUGUUUAAGUGUACAGUUCCAUAGUGCUAAGUCUAUUCAUGAUAUUAUGAAAUAGAUCUCUAAGACUUUUUCAUCUUUACAAAAAAAUGAAAACUCUGUACCCUUUAAACAACUCCUCUCUGCCCCUCCUCCCAGCCCCAGUAACUAUCAUUCUACUAUCUGUUUCUGUAAAUUGGACUUACUUCAGAUACCUCAUUAUGGAUUCUUUUUUUCUUUUUUUUUUUUUUUUUUUUGAGACGGAGUUUCACUCUUGUUGCCCAGGUUGGAGUACAGUGGCGCGAUCUCGGCUCACCGCAACCUCUGCCUCCCAGGUUCAAGUGAUUCUCCUGCCUCAGCCUCCCAAGUAGCUGGGAUUACAGGCAUGCGCCACCAUGCCCAGCUAAUUUUGUGGUUUUAGUAGAGACGGGGUUUCUCCAUGUUCAUCAGGCUGGUCUCGAACUCCCGACUUCAGGUGAUCUGCCCGUGUCAGCCUCCCAAAGUGUUGGGAUUACAGGUGUGAGCCACCUUGCCCGGCAAAUUCAUUUUUAUUGUCUCUUAUUAAACUAUCAGUCUGAAACAGAUUAGAGGUUUGAAAACCAAAAUGGUCCUUUGCCUUAGGUAGUUGAAGAAGCACUGCUCCCAAAAUGCAGGGCCUAGGACAGGUCUCCUCUUGCCCAGGUCUAAAGGCAUUUCUGCUUUACUUCCCUGAGCCUCAGUUUCCCCAGUGUAAAAAGGGGUGACUGAAUGGUGAUGCUCUGAAGGCCUCACAGCCGUGUCACCCGGGGAUGCUGUGGUCACUGAAUUCCCCGAGUUAGGACUGUCUGGCUGGGCAGCCAUCCUCUGUCCCCUCCCGUCGGGCCCUGCUCCAAGUCCCAUUUCACGCGCCGAGGACUCCUUUGUCUCCACUGACACCUGGUUUCCUGCCUCUGCAGUCACAGCGGGGCCUUCUCAUGGAUGACACAUGCAGGCUGCUUCUACUGCUUAUGUCCUGGCCAAAGGUUUAUGGCAUUACCCACUAAGUUCACAUUCCUCUCUGCUUGACCGUCACUCCUGUUUUCCAUGAGUCACACAGGGCUGAAAGAGAUGAGCUGAUGUUAAAGAGGAUGCAACCGAGCAGGGGCCCCACAUUGCAGAAUUUCAGAGCUGAAAGGGACUCAAUUCUAUUUUUUCUCUUAUUUCACAGUAACGCACAUUUACUGCUAAACAACCCCAAAAGAUAUCUCUUUUUCUCUCUCUCUCUCUCCUGCAAUUCAAGCACCUAAUGAUAACUACCUUUAUUUAUUUAUUUGUUGUUUGUUUGUUUUUUGAGACAGAGUCUCAUUCUGUUGCCCAGGCUGGAGUGCAGCGGUGCAGUCUCAGCUGACUGCUACCUCUGCCUCCUGGGUUCAAGUGAUUCUUGUGCCUCAGCCUCCUGAGUAGCUGGG